GACGUCUCUUUGGAAGCCACAGCAGGAGGAGGCUGCUCACGGCGUUUGGAGGCUCGAGGGCCUGGUCUCCAGGUGUGCACAGCCGGGAUGGAGCAGAAGGAGGAUGAGCUUAAGUCAGAGAGUCCUGGGCUCCAGUUUUGCUUUGACGUUUAUGUUGCUUUAAGAGAAAACAGCUCAGCUGUGCUUUUCUCCUCUCCGCGGCCCUCAUGGCUGAUCUGUAUGGAAGAUUAGAGAGGACCCUGUGUCAACGUCCGCAGCCCACCGUAGGUGCUGAGUAAAUGUUGGUCGGUGUUUUUCUCACUUUAUUUUCAAGCUGUCAUUGGCUUGGGAUUUUGUAAAAGGCAGCUGGGGUGUGGAUUGGAGUGGAGCUCUAAGAUGCUUGAGGCAAGAGGAGGCUGUGAACAGGAGGGUUUGGACUGGGAACCACGCAGCACAAACGAGCUGAGUUCGAGGAAGGCCUCAGUGCCUUGAAAGGCAGCUGCUGUUUACACUUUUCUCAAGACAGAGGCUUCACGUGGUCGCCGUUCACACAAGUGCCAAGCAAGACCCUGGCACCAGAGGCGUGGACUGAAAAUGAAGCCACCUGAACGUCCUGUGACGGUCACGGAGCCGGUCGUGUUCGGGGGCCCGUGUGUGUUUGUCAGGCCAGGACCCUGCCGCCUGCCCUCUGGCUUAAGGAAUCCAGUUGGGGAGAAACACUCCCUCUGAGUACCCCUGGGGUUUUGACCCAGCUUGAGGUUGUAAACAGGUGGAGGGGGCCGAGUGGAGAGGCCUUGCUGUGAUAGAGACCUGGGCCUGCCCUGCCACCGUCCGCCGGGAGCCCACGGCAGCCUCGCCCUCCGACACCUGCACGCUGCAUGCAGUGGACUGAACUGCAGGAUGCCUGUGUUGCUGCCAGUUCUGCUGUUUGGGAAAAACUCUCUGUGUUAAGUUGGAUCUUCCUUGUGACUGAUUCAGAGGAGCCACGUUGUUACGGAAGGGCUGGGACCCAGACACAGGGUCCAGAGUGUCCUCGAGGUAUCAGAAGAACUCCUGGAGAGCAAGCUGAGGGCUGUGUCGUCGCCACACCCUCCGUGGGUCCCUGCUCCUGAGUUAGGCUGUGCCCAGCCGCCCAGUGACUCAGAAGCUGUGCACACAAGGGUCCUGCUGAAGGACAGCGGCUUCUGCUUCCUCUGAUCCUGGCAGCCUGGAACUUCCUGAGAGGACUGGGCAUGUGGAUAGCCAUGGGGGGGGACGUCCUUUAAACUGGGGAAUGGGCUCCCCUAGACACAGUCGCUUCCACAGGAAUCUUCUAGAGCCUCACCCAGGGCAGAGCAGACACCCGCAGCAGCCUGGAGUUCCGGGGAGCCCUGGCCGCCUGCCUGGGUCAUGAGGGACAGGCCAGCCCCCAACCCUUGGGUAGGAAGAGCCCAGCCCUCAGACAGGACAGGCACCUGGGUGAACAGACAGCUUCCCCUGCAGGAGGAGAUGCAGCUGUUCAGAAGCAGACCUCCAGCGUGGGAAAAUCAGACCCAUGGUGUCAGGGUGCACGAAGGCAGGACACACAGGCCCGUCCCCCGCGAGGGUCAGGACACGAAGGAGGGACACACAGGCCCGUCCCCCGCAAGGGUCAGGAUACGAAGGAGGGACACACAGGCCACAUCCCCUGCGAAGACCAGGACACGAACGUGGGACACACAGGCCUGUCCCCUGCGAGGACCAGGACACAAAGGCAGACACACAGGCCACGUACCCCGUGAGGGUCAAGGUGCCCAGGGUCAAGGCUGGAGCCUGAACGCUGUCCGCAGACCGUGGCUGGAUGGAGACUGCCAUGUUGAAAUGCCUGCACAUCUGAUCCAGAUGUGGCCGUGCACGAGAGAGGAGGUGUGGGCGUGCACACCAAGCCGUCCUUGCCAGAUGUGGCUCUGGGGGGGCCUGGCUGAGGGAGGGAAAAGAGUUAACUUUUUCUACCUGGAGACUUAACUGGCUAGAAUGAAUAUCUAUUUCUUUGUAAUUAAGAACAUUUUAAAAUACAGAAAAAUAGUUUCCUUAUAAGACUUUUAAUUUUAAACAUACGCAGAGCUUUCUAAAUGGGACGCAGCAUAUAGUUUGGUUUCUGUGGGCCGUGUGCCUUCCAUGUGCCUGGAGGAUGGACAGGUGGUUUUGUAAUGUGUGUCAUAGUUUGCACCCAGCUGGUUCAGGUGUUAAGCCAAAAACAAUUAAUAAAGCAGUGGUGGUGAUCAGUUCAGACAGAGCCCAACCCCUCCCCACGCCAGGGGCUUAUGCUCCGGAGCGGGAAGCGUGUUCUAAGUGGGACUUGGGUGUGAAUUUCUACACCUACGCUAAGUAAAAUGGGCAUUUAUUUACAAAGCUCCGAAUUACAUUGUUUUAUAUUUUAUGUUUAAACUUCAUUAGGAAAAAUUGCCAUUAUUGUUACACGUAAUGAGUUGACUGUCAAUAUAAACGAAGGAAAUGUUGGCAAAAGAAAAAUUAGACCUAUCAUUUUUAUUUACAAUAAUCUCAAAUGCUGUUAAAUUUGUAAGCAUUUCUGUUGCUUUAUAGAUGUUUUGGAAAAGCUAAUUUUAAGUUUUCAAGAAUGAGAAGUUGUCCCCACU
rnacentral:lncRNA from 1 species